GAUGAAGAACGCAGCGAAAUGCGAUAAGUAAUGUGAAUUGCAGAAUUCAGUGAAUCAUCGAAUCUUUGAACGCACAUUGCGCCCGCCAGUAUUCUGGCGGGCAUGCCUGUUCGAGCGUCAUUUCAACCAUCAAGCCCCCGGCUUGUGUUGGGGACCUGCGGCUGCCGCAGGCCCUGAAAACCAGUGGCGGGCUCGCUAGUCACUCCGAGCGUAGUAAUACAUCUCGCUCAGGGCGUGCUGCGGGUUCCGGCCGUUAAAAAAGCCUUAUUUACCCAAGGUUGACCUCGGAUCAGGUAGGAAGACCCGCUGAACUUAAGCAUAUCAAUAAGCGGAGG
rnacentral:misc_RNA from 1 species